CAGCUUGGCCUGAACCCAAAACCGAACGCAACUCACAUUUUCUCACCUCACUAUUUAUUACACCAUUAGUUCUCCCUUUUUUCUUAAGUCUGAACAUCCAUCUCUCUAAGGCAUCCAAAUACUUAACAUAAACCAAAUUCAAACCCAACCCAUACCCCGAAUCAAACCCGCAAUCCUCAGCCACUAAACCCCAUGACAUAUUCACAUAAACUCUCUCAUAUCCACCUUUUCCCCUAACCUUCAAACCCAACCCAUAACCCGAAUCAAACCCACAGUCCUCAGCCACUAAACCCCAUGAUCCACUCACACAAACUCUCUCAUACCCACCUUUUUCCCUUACAACCAAAUAAAGCUUGAACAAAUCAACUGAUUUU
rnacentral:lncRNA from 1 species